UUUUCACAACUAUUCUACAAGGAGUGCACCCUCAUCUCCACUGCAGAGACAGGGAAUUCUGGCACCUACAUGCUGAACGCUGCACAGCUCUGGAAAUACUACACGUGCAGACCGCCUUCAUUUCAUCUUCCGUAGUAAGCUCGUUCUGCACUUACCCGUACCCCCUCGGCAAGGGUGCGUGUUACACGAGGCCAAGAUUGAUCAUCCACACUGAGGCCGAGGGGGGUGGAGGUGACUCAACAGCCAAUGUUGGCCAACGUCUGGGCAGGGCAACCGGCAGUGUUCCAGAAUGUUCCAGAGCGUUCCAGAACACUCCAGAACGGGACUGCCCCGUCCGCCAAGGAGGACCAGGGCUUUCUCCAUGACCCACAACAGACACGACCCAUACGUGAGACGUGAAGUUACCGUGUUCAGCUGCUGGGAUGUUGGGUUUCUCGGUUUCUGCCGCCGAGCCUAGCUGAGCCUCACCAUUGGAACUUGCAGCCCAUUUUACAGAUGACAAAACUGAGGCAGACCUUCAGUCACACAGACAGAAAGUGACGGAAGCAGCAUUAGAAUCCAAGCAGUCGGCCUGCAGAGUCUCUGCUCUUAUUGCUUUUUCUACUUCUUGAUUUUGUUUGUUUUGCCUUGUUAAUCCUCACCUGAGGGUAUUUUUCCAUUGAUUUCUACAGAGAGAGGAAGGGAGGGGGAGGGACAGGGAGAGAAGCACAUCAAUUGGUUGCACGUGCCCUGACCCGGGCCCGGGAUCACCGAGGGCCAUGCCCUUGGCCGGGCUUGAACCCGGGACCCUGCAGUCCACGCGCCGACGCUCUACCCACUGAGCCACACCAGCCAGGGCUGCGCUUUUACUUCUCAGCCGCCUCUCUGGUCAGGACGCGUCCAGGGGAGCGUGGCACGCGCGGGAGAGACCCAACGGCGGUGGGUUCUGGGGCGAAAGUGUGAAUUUCCUGCAACACGGGGACUAAAUUGGACACGAAGGGUGGGGGUUCCCGCUGGAAUCCCGGCCAGAAAGACGAAGAACGUGAGCAGAAGGCUCUGUGGGUGCAGCCAAGAGACAGGAACACAGAACAGCAAGUCGGGGUGCCUAAAUUUAUUCUUAAUGGAUGUGUCCGUUAGAAACGAUCCCUAUACACAAAACUACGGCUUGACUAUCAGCCGAGAAAUCGAAGCUGCACCCGUUUUCCCCGCUUGUCCCCCGCAUCUCAGGGCUGCUUUUCGUAAAAUGAAACAGGACGCGCUUCUGCGGGUGAUUGACGAUCUGCCCCUAGCACAGUCUAACUCGGGCUAUUUUCGGAGGGCCCGGCGGAAAAAUUGCUCCCGUGUCUAUAAAAAGCGAGUGUAUUUUGAGAAGUAGAAGAUGAGAAACAAGAAGAAAAAGAUGUGUGUUUUUUUAAAAAAAAAUGCCGCUGCCCGUCCGGUGGGAGCCGGAGCCGAGAAUCUCGUGUCCCUGAGAACACCAUUCCCUCUGACGCUAUUAGAAAAGGAAGAACCUAGAUCAGAAUCAGCCUGCGGCAAACGGAGCCUGGACCGGACUCCGUCCCCCAAAAAUAACUCAUUAAAAAUAUCAUCUCACAUGUGCAUCUCAUUUUGGCUCCUCAACGACAGACGCUGCCCGGCCGGGGUGGCUCAGUGGUUGAGCAUCGACCUGUGAACCAGGAGGUCAGGGUUCGAGUCCCGGUCCAGGGCACAGGCCCGGGUUGCGGGCUCCAUCCCCCGUGGGGGGCGUGCGGGAG